UGCAGUCUCCGCACCCCUGUGAGAACGCCCUUAAACCUUAUUAGGACAAGGAGCUGGUAUCAGGCACAGUAAUUCUAGCCCACUACACCUAGCAUAGCCACACCCUCAAGGGUAUUCAGCAGUGAUAAACAUUGAAUAUAAGUGUAAACUUGAUUCAGUUAUUGUAUUUAGAGCCGGCCAAUUCGGUGCCAGCCGCCGCGGCUACACCGUGAGGCUCAAGUUGUUGGCCACCGGCGUCAAGCGUGGUUUAAGAUUCUACAACCUAGAGUUUAAUUCUAUAUCAAGCAGUGAUAUGCUGAUUUCUUAGAAACCCAUGAACGAAAGUCACUCUAAUAAUUAACUUGAAUCCACGAUAGCUAAGAAACAAACUGGGAUUAGAUACCCCACUAUGCUUAGCCCUAAAAUAUUUAUUUACACCCCAUUAACGCCCGAGAAUUACGAGCACAAGCUUAAAACUCAAAGGACUUGACGGUGUCCCAUCUACCUAGAGGAGCCUGUUCUAUAAUCGAUAUUCCCCGAUUUACCUCACCACUUUUAGCCUAUCAGUCUGUAUACUUCCGUCGUAAGCUUACCAUAUGAAUGCUAGUGAGCAAAAUGAUUUAUACAUCCACACGUCAGGUCAAAGUGCAGCCAACAAAGUGGCAAGAAAUGGGCUACAGUUUCUAUACAGAACAAACGAAAAACCAUAUGAAAACUGGUCACGAAGGCGGAUUUAGCAGUAAGGAAAAAAUAGAGAGUUUUCCUUAAAAGUGCCCUGGGACGUGUACACACCGCCCGUCACCCUCUUCUCACACUCUUAAUAAGUUAAUUAACACAUAAACCUCAAUCAAGAA
rnacentral:rRNA from 1 species